AGGAUUAUAGUUAAUAAUAACAUUUAAUUUGCAUUUAAAAAGUAUUGAAUAAAUCAAUUUAUCUUA
rnacentral:tRNA from 1 species